CGGGACGGGUGUGUAAUGUCUGGGAAACUGCCUGAUGGAGGGGGAUAACUGCUGGAAACGGUAGCUAAUACCGCAUAACGUCGCAAGACCAAAGAGGGGGACCUUCGGGCCUCUUGCCAUCGGAUGUGCCCAGAUGGGAUUAGCUAGUAGGUGGGGUAACGGCUCACCUAGGCGACGAUCCCUAGCUGGUCUGAGAGGAUGGCCAGCCACACUGGAACUGGGACACGGUCCAG
rnacentral:rRNA from 1 species